AGUCGAGCGGUAGCACAGAGAGCUUGCUCUCGGGUGACGAGCGGCGGACGGGUGAGUAAUGUCUGGGAAACUGCCUGAUGGAGGGGGAUAACUACUGGAAACGGUAGCUAAUACCGCAUAAUGUCGCAAGACCAAAGUGGGGGACCUUCGGGCCUCAUGCCAUCAGAUGUGCCCAGAUGGGAUUAGCUAGUAGGUGGGGUAACGGCUCACCUAGGCGACGAUCCCUAGCUGGUCUGAGAGGAUGACCAGCCACACUGGAACUGAGACACGGUCCAGACUCCUACGGGAGGCAGCAGUGGGGAAUAUUGCACAAUGGGCGCAAGCCUGAUGCAGCCAUGCCGCGUGUGUGAAGAAGGCCUUCGGGUUGUAAAGCACUUUCAGCGGGGAGGAAGGCGGUGAGGUUAAUAACCUUGUCGAUUGACGUUACCCGCAGAAGAAGCACCGGCUAACUCCGUGCCAGCAGCCGCGGUAAUACGGAGGGUGCAAGCGUUAAUCGGAAUUACUGGGCGUAAAGCGCACGCAGGCGGUCUGUCAAGUCGGAUGUGAAAUCCCCGGGCUCAACCUGGGAACUGCAUUCGAAACUGGCAGGCUAGAGUCUUGUAGAGGGGGGGUAGAAUUCCAGGUGUAGCGGUGAAAUGCGUAGAGAUCUGGAGGAAUACCGGUGGCGAAGGCGGCCCCCUGGACAAAGACUGACGCUCAGGUGCGAAAGCGUGGGGAGCAAACAGGAUUAGAUACCCUGGUAGUCCACGCCGUAAACGAUGUCGAUUUGGAGGUUGUGCCCUUGAGGCGUGGCUUCCGGAGCUAACGCGUUAAAUCGACCGCCUGGGGAGUACGGCCGCAAGGUUAAAACUCAAAUGAAUUGACGGGGGCCCGCACAAGCGGUGGAGCAUGUGGUUUAAUUCGAUGCAACGCGAAGAACCUUACCUGGUCUUGACAUCCACAGAACUUUCCAGAGAUGGAUUGGUGCCUUCGGGAACUGUGAGACAGGUGCUGCAUGGCUGUCGUCAGCUCGUGUUGUGAAAUGUUGGGUUAAGUCCCGCAACGAGCGCAACCCUUAUCCUUUGUUGCCAGCGGUUCGGCCGGGAACUCAAAGGAGACUGCCAGUGAUAAACUGGAGGAAGGUGGGGAUGACGUCAAGUCAUCAUGGCCCUUACGACCAGGGCUACACACGUGCUACAAUGGCAUAUACAAAGAGAAGCGACCUCGCGAGAGCAAGCGGACCUCAUAAAGUAUGUCGUAGUCCGGAUUGGAGUCUGCAACUCGACUCCAUGAAGUCGGAAUCGCUAGUAAUCGUAGAUCAGAAUGCUACGGUGAAUACGUUCCCGGGCCUUGUACACACCGCCCGUCACACCAUGGGAGUGGGUUGCAAAAGAAGUAGGUAGCUUAACCUUCGGGAGGGCGCU
rnacentral:rRNA from 1 species